rnacentral:sRNA from 12 species
ACUAAAGGUAGCUAGGGUUCCGACUUAUUUAUAAGUGUCUGGUCCGAGAGCAACCGACUCUUAAAUAGAGUUACACGGAGGGAUAAAAGCCCGGGAGGU